rnacentral:rRNA from 1 species
UACGGGGGGUGCGAGCGUUGUCCGGAAUUACUGGGCGUAAAGCGUGCGCAGGCGGCGCGUUAAGACAGGUGUGAAAGCCCCGAGCUUAACUUGGGAAUUGCGCUUGUGACUGGCGAGCUGGAGUGUGGCAGAGGGAGGUGGAAUUCCACGUGUAGCAGUGAAAUGCGUAGAGAUGUGGAGGAACACCGAUGGCGAAGGCAGCCUCCUGGGCCAGCACUGACGCUCAUGCACGAAAGCGUGGGGAGCAAACAGG